rnacentral:tRNA from 1 species
GGUGGCUCAGUGGUAGAGCACUUGCCUUGCAUGCAUGAGACCCUGGAUUCGAUCCUCAGCACCA